rnacentral:piRNA from 1 species
UCCAUUGAUAUUGCCGUUGUUCCAGUCUU